rnacentral:rRNA from 1 species
AUUGAACGCUGGCGGCAGGCCUAACACAUGCAAGUCGAGCGGAUGACGGGAGCUUGCUCCUUGAUUCAGCGGCGGACGGGUGAGUAAUGCCUAGGAAUCUGCCUGGUAGUGGGGGACAACGUUUCGAAAGGAACGCUAAUACCGCAUACGUCCUACGGGAGAAAGCAGGGGACCUUCGGGCCUUGCGCUAUCAGAUGAGCCUAGGUCGGAUUAGCUAGUAGGUGAGGUAAUGGCUCACCUAGGCGACGAUCCGUAACUGGUCUGAGAGGAUGAUCAGGCAAACUGGAACUGAGACACGGUCCAGACUCCUACGGGAGGCAGCAGUGGGGAAUAUUGGACAAUGGGCGAAAGCCUGAUCCAGCCAUGCCGCGUGUGUGAAGAAGGUCUUCGGAUUGUAAAGCACUUUAAGUUGGGAGGAAGGGCAGUAAGCGAAUACCUUGCUGUUUUGACGUUACCGACAGAAUAAGCACCGGCUAACUCUGUGCCAGCCGCCGCAGUAACAC